CCUACGGGGGGCAGCAGUGGGGAAUAUUGCACAAUGGGCGCAAGCCUGAUGCAGCCAUGCCGCGUGUGUGAAGAAGGCCUUCGGGUUGUAAAGCACUUUCAGCGGGGAGGAGGGCGGUGAGGUUAAUAACCUCAUCGAUUGACGUUACCCGCAGAAGAAGCACCGGCUAACUCCGUGCCAGCAGCCGCGGUAAUACGGAGGGUGCAAGCGUUAAUCGGAAUUACUGGGCGUAAAGCGCACGCAGGCGGUCUGUCAAGUCGGAUGUGAAAUCCCCGGGCUCAACCUGGGAACUGCAUUCGAAACUGGCAGGCUAGAGUCUUGUAGAGGGGGGUAGAAUUCCAGGUGUAGCGGUGAAAUGCGUAGAGAUCUGGAGGAAUACCGGUGGCGAAGGCGGCCCCCUGGACAAAGACUGACGCUCAGGUGCGAAAGCGUGGGGAGCAAACAGGAUUAGAUACCCUUGUAGUC
rnacentral:rRNA from 1 species